UGAGGAAUAUUGGUCAAUGGACGCAAGUCUGAACCAGCCAAGUAGCGUGCAGGAUGACGGCCCUAUGGGUUGUAAACUGCUUUUAUAUGGGGAUAAAGUGGGGAACGUGUUCCCUUUUGCAGGUACCAUAUGAAUAAGGACCGGCUAAUUCCGUGCCAGCAGCCGCGGUAAUACGGAAGGUUCGGGCGUUAUCAGGAGUUAUUGGGUUUAAAGGGAGCGUAGGCUGUUUGUUAAGCGUGUUGUGAAAUGUAAGAGCUCAACUUUUAGAUUGCUGCGCUAACUGGCAGACUUGAGUGCGCACAACGUAGCCGGAAUUCAUGGUGUAGCGAUGAAAUGCUUAGAUAUCAUGACGGACUCCGAUUGCGAAGGCAGCUUACGGGAGCGCAACUGACGCUAAAGCUCGAAGGUGCGGGUAUCGAACAGG
rnacentral:rRNA from 1 species